CACAUCUUCAAACUGUAAUUAACAUUAGCUCGUAACUGCCCUGGAUGCUCUGUGCCAGAUGUCACUUGACUUAAGGCUCCUUUAUGCUGCCAGACUGCAAAGAGCAUUUAUGGUAAUGGUAAACUGGAAUUAUAACAUCCAGAAUAGCCCUUAGUUACACAGAUAGCACCACCUAACAGCUAAGAGCCAUGUAAUUUGUUUUGGAAGAGUGACUCUAGGUAACACAAGUACCUUUCUUCGUAAAUCAUUAACCCAGUACUCAGAGAUUGUUCUGCUCUCUGUUCCUGUGUUUAUUAUCUCCAUUUUGUACUGCAUAAUUCUGCCAGAAUGUACUUUUAUCACCUUGGUUUUGGACUUUAGUUUUGCUAUCUUUUGCUUUGCAAAUGGAAGAAAACUAGAAUUAAUGUGCAACAUUUCUGGUUACAAAUUAAUUAUGAAAAUUCAUUGCAAAUACAAGGCAAUACCAGAAAGAAAGGAAUCUUUCCUCUGUGUGUGAAACUUCCAAAAUCAAUAUUAUCUGGAUGGUCAACAUUACAUGAAGAAAGGAGAAAGCAUGGAGAAGAAGUACAGGAAAAAACAGAGUAUCAAGUAUCAUGAUGGAAAGGAGUGGAGAUAAACUGGUGGUAUUCAGUGAUGGCCAAAGGGAGAUUCACACUGCCCAGUUCAAGAGGAGGGAGCAGCCAGAUGUCACCAUGAAAACUGUUCUGCAACGACAGACAGGAAACAAAGUACUGCACUGGACAAGUCCAAAUCGAAGAUGAGGAGGGUAAUCUCAUCCUGGAUAAGAUGUGAUUCCUCCCUGCAGAAGGCUGUGGGGCUCAGACAAUCAACAAAUCACCACUCAAAUUGCAGGGCAUCUUUCAAAGAAAGCAAGAAGCAUUGCUGAUCUUGAUCAUACACACACUUCAGUUUAUCAAUUUAAUUAUGAAGCUGUGAGAAGUUUGAUAUCAGCUGGUGUAAUGAUAAAAUUGUAUUGUUUUUCCUUAACUGCUUCAUAGCAGUCCUGCUUUCAACAACUGAAUAAGUUAAUAUAUUUUAUUUGUUUUGUAAAAGCAAAAUCUAACUAAAAUAAAAUCAAAACAUUCUUCUCCA
rnacentral:lncRNA from 1 species